CCUACGGGUGACUGCAGUGAGGAAUAUUGGUCAAUGGACGCUAGUCUGAACCAGCCAAGUAGCGUGAAGGAUGACUGCCCUAUGGGUUGUAAACUUCUUUUAUAUGGGAAUAAAAUGCAGCAUGUAUACCUUUUUGCAUGUACUUUAUGAAUAAGGAUCGGCUAACUCCGUGCCAGCAGCCGCGGUAAUACGGAGGAUCCGAGCGUUAUCCGGAUUUAUUGGGUUUAAGGGGAGCGUAGAUGGGUUGUUAAGUCAGUUGUGAAAGUUUGCGGCUCAACCGUAAAAUUGCAAUUGAUACUGGCAGCCUUGAGUACAGUAGAGGUAGGCGGAAUUCGUGGUGUAGCGGUGAAAUGCUUAGAUAGCACGAAGAACCCCGAUUGCGAAGGCAGCCUACUAAACUGUGACUGACACUGAUGCUCGAAAGUGUGGGUAUCAAACAGGAUUAGAUACCCUAGUAGUC
rnacentral:rRNA from 1 species